UCCACUGAGAUUCAGCCCUUU
rnacentral:siRNA from 1 species